CGGCUACUUCACAACACCAGGGUCACACUGCACUACAGGCAGCGAGCAGCGAGCAGCGAGCACCUGGACACCAGCCUGUGAGACAACUUCCCCACCCCCAGGUCAUUUCAGGACUCCUUCAGCAGACUCCAGACCCCAGUGUGACUCUUCAUCUCCUGCCCUGAGGGGGCAGCUGAAGCUGCUGUUUAUUGCAACACUAAUAGCUCAACUUCAGAAAAGAACACCACUCCAGGCCGCAUUAGCUUCCCACAAAGGCAACAGUGCAAACAGAUCUCCUGGGGUGAGGGAAGAUGUGUGAGGCCCUUGGAAAGGCUGAGCACCCUCAACUGAAUGUCCUGAGAUGCCUGGAAACACGUGGAGGCUAUAGGACCAGGUGCUCCCCCCCCCCUUUUUUUAAAUUUCCUCUCUUUUUGUUUUAUUUUUCUGUGUUUUAUUUUUUCCUUUUUAAAAACUGUGUCUGUGUACUACGUGUGAGUGUGUGUGUGUGUGUGUGUGUGUGUGUGAGAGAGAGAGAGAGAGAGAGAGAGGGAGAGAGAGAAAGAGAGAGAAUGUGUGUGUGUGUGUGUAAGCCAGAGGUAUCAAUUGCUCUUUUUAAAAUUGUAUUUGCUAUUUAUUUAUGUGUAUGUGCCUGUGUGUGUUUACGUGUACUACAUGUGUGCAAGUGACCAAGGAGUCCAAAAGGUGGUGUUGGAUCUCCUGAAACUGAGUCAUGAGCAGCCAUGUGAGUUCUGGGAAGUGAACCUCAGCUCUGUGCACGAGCAGCAAGCAUUCUUAAACCUCAGAACCGUGUCGUUUCACUUAUCUGUUUGUUUAUUGUGUGUGUGCAUCCACAUACAUGCAUGUCGAUGCUGAAACACGCAUGCAAAGCAGUGGUUCUCAACCCCUUUGGGGGACAAACUGCCUUUUCAUAGAGUCACCUAAGACCGUUGGGAAAACACGGUAUUUACAUCAAGAUUCGUAACAGCAGCAAAAUUACAGUUAUGAAGUUGUUACAAAAAUAAUCUUAUAGUUGGGGUCACCACAACAUAAGGAACUGUAUUAAAGGGUCAUGGCAUUAGGAAGGUUGAGAACUACUGAUGUAGAGGUCAGAGAACAACUUGUAAGAGUUGGUUUUCUCCCUUCUAUGGUGUGGGUCUCAGCUGAGCUCGGCAGCAAGGACCUUUGCGGCUGAGUCACCUCACCAAACCUCCACUUAUUUUCUUGAUGGAGCCUCUUGCUGAGCCUGGAGCUCACACAUUCAGCUGGACUGUCUGGUUAGCAAGCCCUGGGGAUGCUCUUGACUCUGCCUCCCCAGAGAGGGCAUUACUGGAGUGAGUCACCGUGCCUGGCUUUUACGUGGGUGCUGGGAAUAUGCUCCAGAUCUUCCUGCCAUCAAGCACUUAGCCACCCCCCAGCCCUUUGUUUGGAUAUUGGCAAUAGUAUCUUUGACUUAGCAGUUGAGGGAGGGAGAAGCUGGUUAUGGGAUGAUGGCCUUAAAUAAGUCUACUGCAACCUUCAAAGGGCUCCACUACAGGGGCAGCCCCUGUGUUUCGUCCCAAAUGGUCCCAGAUUCCCUAAGCAGCUGACUCCAUCCUUUGAGAGCAAGAUUCCAUAGCUCUCCUCUGCACACAUGCACACUUGCCAGUGACACACAAGAGCCAAGCACUAGGCAGGUGUUGCAGGGCACUGAGAUGUCUGAGGCUCCUGUUACCUGUCUUGGCAAGUGGUUUCCUAGCCCCAGGUCCUAACAGGAGCCCUUUAGACUUGAAGACCUAAGGUCUCCAAAACCUGAGUAUUUUUGUACCUAACAAAUCAUAUUUGUGACACUACUCUUCAGAGCCCAGGCAGGCUCUCGAGAGCUGUAUCACAUCCUUUCUCAAGUACCAAGGAAAAAUAAGAUCUCCCUCUGUGCCUUGUAGGAUAAAGAGCCACAACACCCUGGUGAACUCUGUCCUGUAAGCUGUUUGCACGGGACUUUUGCUGAGGUUCCAUAGGAAGCAGAAGUGGAGAAGACCAACACCUGUGCAAACACUGCCCAGAAUGAAGGUCACCCAGACAGACGCUGGGGCCACUUGUGUCUCUGUCUCUGCUUCCUAUAGUCUCCUGUCCGCCCACCCCAUCCCUGAGCCCCUAAGGGCAGAUUGGCAUUUGUACUAAAUUAUGUUUACCUUCUAAGUGAAAGGAGCCCAUGUUCUCAGACACUCCUACCAUCUUCUUAGAACAUGCAACAGACCUAAUAUCUCUGAGAACUGUUCCUGACUCCCUGACACCACAAGGGUUGAGACCAGCACCACUCGUGGCCUGGUCUCUGGGCACAGCUUCAGUGUGGGACACAGAUGGAAUCCUUGGCCCCAUGCCCCCCUGCUGCGUCAGACUCUAGCAGGGACAGUGAGCCAGGUGGGGAGGACUGCGGCAGCAGUCUGUCCGGGCUUCCUUCACUACUUGUCUCUGCAGCCUUCCUGCAGCCUCUCCAGCAUCCGUUCCAACCCCCUAUUUUCCUGUAAGCUCGGAGUCAUCUUCUUAAGACACACCUUCAGACCUGCAGUCCCUCCACGGGCCUAGAGCUACCUGCAAGGAUUUGGCAUCAGCCUCCCCACAGUGGGACUGGAUGCAUCUCUGCCAAGAGGCCAAGGGCUUCAGCUCAUUGACUGUGACCGCCUGGGCCCAGCUCCCUGCCACUGAGCACUGACAACAGUAAAGCCUGAUGAAUGCACAGAGCACCACUCCAAGCCACACACAUCUACUCACGGUGUGUUGUUCUGUCUCACUGAGAACAUAACUGCAGCCCCAGAACAUUCCAGACCUGAUGAUACCUAUCAGAAGCAGGACCGUUCAGCCUGUUUUCUGUAGCCUUCUCUUAACAGCCAUGCCAUUGGAAGUGGUAAGUUUAGAAUCUCUGCAUCAUAAGUUCUGUGGGGCUUACAUUUGCAGCAAGCCGCAUUCUAAACAGCAGAUUCUCUAACGUGGCCCAAUGCAGACCACAAAAAGCUGUGGACACAGUAGGCUUCUCUCUCUCUCUCUCUCUCCCCCUCUCUCUCUCUCUCUCUCUCUCUCUCUCUCUCUCUCUCUCUCUCUGUCUCUCUCUCUCUUUGACACCCAAUGUCUUAACCUUGCAGACUGGCUAAUAUCUGCUGGCCACGGCCAGUACUUUUGUAAUACUGAAUACCAAAUAGAAUGGUAUUUUUCAGUUGUGUUUCUGGGACUGGCAACCUUAUCAGCACCCAUGGGAACUUAUUGGGUUUGCAACUGACCAGCCCUACCCUGGCAGUGCUGAAUACUGGCCAGCACACCCAAGAAGUUCCAAAUCAUAUUGAUGAAAAGAAAAAUAAAAAAUCUAGGCAUGAUAGUACACACCUUUAACACAUCCACACACAAUCACCAAACCAAGCCAGUGAGACCCUGUUGGAAAAGAAAUUACUUCAGCACCAUGCGACAGGGAAGCUUCCAGGCCUCCAUCAAAGCUUAUGGCUUUCACCCAAUACUGAAUAACAGUUUUUUAAGCCCUUUUUCCCAAAUCUUAGGAGUAAAUCUCCAGAUGCCCUGGGCUAUGAAAUCCUGACCUUUCCUGUGUUCUGAAUAAAUAUGUCCAAGGCAUGUAUGACCCCUGCCCCCAGGGAGGCCUUAGCAUCUCUUCACUCACACAUGGCACACUGCAAAGCCUUCACUCCACUCUCCACUCUGGGCUUGCGGCAACCAUGUUCUAAGAGGACAUGGAGACUGAGAGGUUUGAUAACCUGCCCCCAGGGCCCUUGCGAUCAUGAACCUGCUGUCUCCGGUGCUUUGCUUGGCCCUGCCUUUGAUUUGACCCCUCUUUCAUGAACAAAUAUGAAAUGGAGAAGCCUGAAUGUCCAGCAUAGAGCACCUGUGUCCACGGGAUCAGAGAAAACCACUUAUGAUGGGCCCCUAACAGAAAAUCCUGACCUGAAGACUAAACACUAGGUGGUGACUACAAUUAAAUGUGAGCAUCUUGUGACUCUCUGACCUCCGGAUGAGUUUGUUGUCCUUGUUAUCUUGGUGGCCAUUAGCGAUAGCCUUUAUGCUCACCUUAUGGGUGAUCUCACAGAUUCAAUGGAUAAAUCAGAGGCAAAGAUCUUCCCAGCCCUGAGACACAGCCUCUCAGUAGGUACUGACCCAGGCAAGUGUUCCCCACCGCCUCCUUUUUUUUUUUUUUAACCCCCUAAGAAAAACAGUGAUUUAGACCAAGAGUUCUGACCUUUUCCGUCACGUGCUCUGUGGUGAGACCAGGAGGAAGCUGUGUUCCGCUUCCCAUCACAGCCCAGGAAACUGUACACACCAUUAAUGAUGAGGGGAGAGUAUGUGGGCCUUGAGGACAGAACUGAAGUCCAAGCAAUGUCUCCACCAUAAUUCUGACUGUCAGAGGAAAAAUAAUCUGAUCUGCCAUUCCCUCUGUCCCCUAAACGAAAAACUCAAGGAGUGUCACACGGGGUUGGAAAUGCUAUUUUUAAAGACAUCAGCAUGAAAGGGCUAGGAGAGCACUAAAGGGUGACGAGCUUGCUGUGCAAGCAUCGGGACCCCAGCAUCCUUGGAGCACCACGUGGUGCUGAGAGGCAGAAGCAGGCAGACCUCUAGAGCUUGCUGGGAAGCCAGCUGAGUAGUGACAUCUUACAGCCAAGGAAAUGGGUCAGGAGUACUAAGGAACCUGCCCUGAGCCACACAUCCUGGCCCUCUGUCUCCAGAACCAAAGUUUUUCACGAUCCAGGACAGAGACAGUGGCCCCAGUACCCUGGUGAUACUGACCACGUGCUAAACAUUUGAGCUGUCCCAGAGCCCAAAGCACUCUGGGAAGUGAAGCAGCACCCUUCCAGUGUUUAUGUGAGGACUGGGCUCAGAGCAAUGAAAACACUUGCUCAGGGUCCCAUCACUCGGUGGUAGAUCAUCACGCCCUGGGGAGUUGUGUUGUCCACCUGCCUAAAGGGUGUUCUGCCCAUACUUGGUGACCAGCUACUGCCACCCACCCAGGGCUAUGUAGAAGUGAGUGGUUUCAAAGGUUCCCAACUGUCCCUUAACCUGGGGCUUGGGGACAGUGUGCUAAAAGUGAGAAAAAUGAAAAAUUUAAGCAACCAUCAAUCAUGCCUUGUUGGAGUAGGGGCUACAUGGGCCCACAGCAGUCACCUGUGAUCUCACUUCCUCCUGCUGGACCGUAAGUCCCCAAGGGCAGGAUUCACUGUCUGCUUUGUUGUGUGGGUGUACCCAAAGCCGGCACAGUGUGGCUUAAUACACAGUGGGUGUUCAGCGCAAGGCUGUUCUAUGAACAAUCGUGGGUUCCUCUGCUGUCCAUGCUGGGAUGCUGAAAGCCCUCCCUGGGGACCCAGCCUGCCAAAUCUGGACGAUUCUCAUGGGAGACUCAUAGACUAUAUUCAUAUUAGCUCAGCUCAGCAGGACAGGAAGGUCUCUGGGUCCAGAAGCCCUGUAGCACUAAUUGGGGCACUAAAGCCUUCAGCAGAGGCCUCUAGCAGUGACCCUGUGGCUGUUAGUGAUGGGCGUUGUAAUUGGUUGCAUCUUGCUGAACUUAUUAAAGACAGGGAACAGCUUCUCUGCUACCUUUCAUGGGCCUGAAAGACAGUCAAACUCCUCUGUUCCACUCACAUGGUACUGCAUCCUUCAACAGGGGUGCACAGCCAUCAUGGUGUGAGGUAAGCCUCUGGAACCCAGAGUGUGGGGUUCUUCUGUCCCCCCCCAUCACCUGGCACUGCAUCUGGCAUAUAGCAUUUGCAGGACAGGUGACUCAACACCUCAUACAGUGUCCUGCUGGGUUUAGCAUGUAGGAUGCUUAUGUUCCUUAGUACAUACAACAUGGGCAGUGCUCACAGCCAAGUGGAUGGCACUGUCAGCCUGGGGAAAGGACCUCUCUCUAUGCCGGCAUUGUGAAGCUGAAAUGAUCUGAUCUGGGACCUAUAGGGGAGGUCUCAACGUUGCCACUUGCAGCCAGAAAUCUUAAGUAACAGCUAACCCAGCCAUUCCAUCUGAAUUAUUAACUGGAUCAUGAAGCCAGGAAGCAAGGAGUUGAUGCAAAAAUCUGGGGAUAUUAUCAAAAUCUUUUGACCCUGUCUGUCUGUGCUGCCUGCCACCCUUCUGUGACCACACAAAGGAUGCCGUCCUUCUAGUUGGCACCUCCACCUUCCAAGAGGAAGAAAAAGGAGCUGGAGGGGCCAAAAAUGUCCCCUCCUUUCAUCAAAUGAUGCCACCUUCCCAGGAACAUUCUAGCCCAGCAGACUUGGAAACCCUGGGCAGAAGAACCCCAUCCCUGGGCCCCAGAACUGGACACUGGGGAAAGCUGAGGUGUCGAGAUAGGGAGUAAAAAGCAAAAGUAGCAAGAGAAAAUGACCCCAAUACCCUCAUUGCUGCCAACCAGCAGCAGCCUAGAGAACUCACAGCUGGUUUUUAACUGGCAACUGGUUUGUGGGGCUUCUUACAAAGCAAUAGGUGUGUGUAGUCAUUUAAAGACAUGAAAAUGUUGAGAGGCUGCAGAGACAGCUCAGCAGUCAAGUGCACUUGCUGUCCUUCCAAGGAACCCAGGUUUCAUCCUCAGCACCCGGGUGGCAUCUCAGAACCUGCUUAACUCUGCUUCUAGAGGAUAUGACACCGUCUUCUGGCUUCCACGGG
rnacentral:lncRNA from 1 species